AUUUAGUUCUCUGGAUUCUAAUUUAAAUGUUUUUUAAUGUUAAAACAUUUAAAUUAGAAUCCAGAGAACUAAAU